AUUGAACGCUGGCGGCAGGCCUAACACAUGCAAGUCGAGCGGAUGAAGGGAGCUUGCUCCUGGAUUCAGCGGCGGACGGGUGAGUAAUGCCUAGGAAUCUGCCUGGUAGUGGGGGAUAACGUCCGGAAACGGGCGCUAAUACCGCAUACGUCCUGAGGGAGAAAGUGGGGGAUCUUCGGACCUCACGCUAUCAGAUGAGCCUAGGUCGGAUUAGCUAGUUGGUGGGGUAAAGGCCUACCAAGGCGACGAUCCGUAACUGGUCUGAGAGGAUGAUCAGCCACACUGGAACUGAGACACGGUCCAGACUCCUACGGGAGGCAGCAGUGGGGAAUAUUGGACAAUGGGCGAAAGCCUGAUCCAGCCAUGCCGCGUGUGUGAAGAAGGUCUUCGGGUUGUAAAGCACUUUAAGUUGGGAGGAAGGGCAGUAAGUUAAUACCUUGCUGUUUUGACGUUACCAACAGAAUAAGCACCGGCUAACUUCG
rnacentral:rRNA from 1 species